GCCGGGAGCGGUGGCGCGUGCCUGUAGACCCAGCUACUCAGGAGGCUGAGGUGGGAGGAUUGCUUGAGCCCAGGAGUUCUGGGCUGCAGUGCGCUAUGCCGAUUGUAUGUCCACACUAAGUUCGACAUCAAUAUGGUGAGCUCCCGGGAACAGGGGACCACCAGGUUGCCUAAGGAGGGGUGAACUGGCCCAGGUCGGAAACGAAGCAGGUCAAAACUCCCGUGCUGAUCAGUAGUGGGAUCGCGCCUAUGAAUAGCCACUGCACUCCAGCCUGGGCAACAUAGCGAGACCCCGUCUCU
rnacentral:SRP_RNA from 1 species